rnacentral:rRNA from 1 species
UACAGAGGGGGUGCGAGCGUUUUUUUUUUUUUUAAUCGGGAAUUUACUGGGGGCGUAAAGCGUGCGUAGACGGGUUUAUUUUAAGUUCGGGGUGUGAAAGCCCCCGGGGCUCAACCUGGGGGAAUUGCAUUUCGAGACUGAAUAGCUAGGGGUACGGUAGAGGGGAAGUGGAAUUUUUCCGGUGAGCGGGUGAAAUGCGGUAGAUAUCGGGAAGGGAACAUCAGUGGGCGAAAGC